rfam:Eucalyptus grandis cultivar BRASTZ1 unplaced genomic scaffold scaffold_7, whole genome shotgun sequence.
AGGCAACCUCUUUGAUUGGUUCAUUGGAAGAGAGGUGUUAAACUGCUCGAACAUUGAUGUCUUCUGCUCUUCAGACUUGCUGAGAUGACUCCAAGGCUGGGCUAGUAAGCUUAAGUGCAUU